rnacentral:rRNA from 1 species
GCCUACAUGAAGCUGGAGUUACUAGUAAUCGCAGAUCAGAAUGCUGCGGUGAAUGCGUUCCCGGGUCUUGUACACACCGCCCGUCACACCACGGAAGUUGGGGCGCCCGAAGCCACUUAGCUAACCCAUUUGGGAAGCGAGUGUCGAAGGUGAAAUCAAUAACUGGGGUGAAGUCGUAACAAGGUAAC